AUGAGUCAGCAUCCUUAUAUCAAAGAAAACUUUUAACCUUUGGUUUUGACUUGGCUGAUCUGGCUGGCUAGGUGGUGUUCCCUUCCUCCCUCACUGCUCCAUGUGCGUCUCCCAAAGCUGUGUGCUCAAAGAGGAAGACCUUCCCUGAUAGAGGAGGACCCUGUUCUUUGGUAAAGGGUAUAAGACUAGCUGUGCUCCCCUGCUGGAACCUCCAAACAAGCUCUCAAAGCCCUUCUUUUUGGUUUAGUUAUUAACAGACCCCUCUCCCCAAUGCCUCCUUUGCCUCAUCCUUUCCUCUGAGGCACAGG
rnacentral:snRNA from 1 species